UUAUUAUAGCAAAGAGGAUACACCUGUUCCCAUACCGAACACAGAAGUUAAGCUCUUUAGCGGCGAUGGUACUUGGUGGGCAACCGCCUGGGAGAGUAG
rnacentral:rRNA from 1 species